GUUCAGGUCGCGGCUCCGCCCACGGCCGCCCCGGGGUCGGCUUCCUACACGUCUCUUUAAAGGGCAGCCUGAGCGGCCACCGGGACUCGGAAAUGCUACGUCUAUUGAUUCACAUUACUUGCUGGCAGUGUGUGAAGUCAACGAACAAGACUGAGUCUUUGCCCUUGAGACGCGUACACUCUACCCAGAGACAAGUUCUAAGCACAGGAAACAAGUAAUUUUAUAAGAACAUCACAGGGCAGUUAUUCUCCAGGUGAAUUCGGAUUAAAGAGGACACUUGAGCCGGUGAGAUCACAGAAAGCUUUUAUCACCCACCCCUUUAGAGGUGGUCGAGAUUAUUUACCCCUAUUAAAUUUCACGUGUGGUGGUGGAGUCGGUAUAAACAUCAAAUUGAACAUGUA
rnacentral:lncRNA from 1 species